CGACACUUCACCUCUCCCCUAGCUCUUCUUGCAGUUAAAUGUUCACCAGCAUGAAUACACACAUUAACUACCCACCCCUACCCCUCAUCCCUUCCCCACACCAUGAGAUGGGCUUGUAGCAUAUCUAGCAGGAAAAUAAAUCCAAACUCUGACAGAUCGAUAGGAGCAGCAUUCCAAUAUUAAGGAAACUUGGUAGAAAGACCAUGCCAGCAGCUCCCUCCUAUUGAGAGAGAGGCAAUUUCAGCCCAAGCACCUCAAGAGACAGCUAAUACACUAUGGCACAGGAAGCUGGCUCUCAGACUACAGACCGGUCAGCCUCACUUCAGUCCCUUGAAAAAUCAUGGAGCAGGUCCUCAAGGAAUCCAUUUUGAAGCACUUGGAGGAGAGGAAGACCAAGGAUCAUGCAAAGAAUGAUCCCACCUAACAUUAGCCAACACUAUUAAUCAGACUGAUUAUAGUAUCUCUCUUAAUUUAUUGCAAGAAAUAGACAAAUAAAGUUCCACUGUACUAAGAUACUUCCUUAGCGCCUUCUUUUGGUGCCAAUGAAGUUCAUCUUGAAUUUCUUAGAACUCCUAUUAAAAUCUUUUUCUCUGUGAUCUCUCUCAUUCAAAUAAACUGCCAAUGCAAUUUGUUGUAUGCAGUGUAGUUGUAACUGUGUCGGAAUGAGGAUACUAGAGAGACAAGGUAGGUGAAGUAUCAUCUUUUAUUGGACCAGUAUCUCGUUUCAUAAUUACUUCACCUUGGAAGUAGUUUCUCUUCUUCCUAGUCACUAAGUACUCCAUAUACAACCAUUUUAAAACAAACAUUAAACCAGGUUUUCCUCUGCAGCACACAAAGUUUUAGGUUUCCUUUUUCACUUCAGUCUGCUUCUGUGUUGUAUUCAUGACUGAGUCUGUCCACAACUGUAAGUGGAAAUUUGUUAAACAUACUGCCACAGUUUGGACAGAUGCAUUUUGUUGUUAACAAGGCUGACACUCUGGAAGAGACUGCUGUGGUAGGGUAGGUGGUAAAAAUGAAAUAAAGUACAUUGAUGAAUAUUUUCCAACCAACUAUCCAUUACCAAUUAUUUCAAUCAUCAGCUACUGUUUCCUAGUGAUGAGAGUUAAACAUUACAAAUUAUAUUUCUAAACUGUUCCCAUCUGCUCACUGAGCUAAGCGUUCAAAAGCUAGCACGAGCACAAAUCUUCACAGGCUUAUUCUAGGGUGCAAACACAAUUUAGGAACAUACUUUACACAAAUGAGGUGGAAGGACAAGGAAAAAUCAGUGAAAUUUGUAGUCAGCUAUGGAAAGGUAAUGCAGAGCUUUUUCCAUCUGAGCACAAACACAGAGCAUGCAUCUGCCUAACUUUUUUUUUUUUAGAGUAACUUAAGCCUAUUUGUUUGUCCUCUCUCCUAUUUUGCAGAGCCCUAGCAUCUUGGAGGUUGUGCUUUUUUGGGUUUCCCCAUAGUUCUGUCCCAACAAAGAUGCACCAGGCCUCCAGGUCAGAUUCCAGAGAUGUUCCUAAUUGUUACUUUCUGGCAAAGAUAAAGAUUGGACUUCUAG